ACGGGGCGCAGCAGGCGCGAAAACUGCACAAUGUGGGCAAUCACGAUGCGGGAAACCCAAGUGCCAGCGCUAUGCGUUGGCUGUCCUCCAGUGUUCGUAACUGGGGAAGAAAGUGCUGGGUAAGACGGGUGCCAGCCGCCGCGGUAAUACCCGCAGCACAAGUGGUGGUCAUUAUUAUUGGGCCUAAAGCGUCCGUAGCUGGCUUGUUAGAUGCCUGGAUAAAUCGAUGCGCUCAACGUAUCGAACUCCGGGUAGACCGGCAAGCUUGGGACCGGGAGAGGCGUGAGCUACUUGAGGGGUAGGGGUAAAAUCCUGUAAUCCUUCGGGGAGGACCAGUGGCGAAGGCGUCACGCUAGAACGGCUCCGACGGUGAGGGACGAAGCCCUGGGGCGCAAACCGGAUUAGAUACCCGGGUAGUCCAGGGUGUAAACGCUGCAGACUUGGUGUCGCUGAUCCUACGAGGGUUGGCGGUGCCGUAGAGAAGUUGUUUAGUCUGCCGCCUGGGGAGUACGGUCGCAAGACUGAAACUCAAAGGAAUUGACGGA
rnacentral:rRNA from 1 species